rfam:Brachypodium distachyon strain Bd21 chromosome 4, whole genome shotgun sequence.
GGAUACGGUCAUACCAGCACUGAAGCAUCGGAUCCCAUCAGAACUCCGAACUUAAGCGUGCUUGGGCGAGAGUAGUACGAGGAUGGGUGACCUCCUGGGAAGUCCUCGUGUUGCAUUUU